rnacentral:rRNA from 1 species
AUUGAACGCUGGCGGCAUGCCUUACACAUGCAAGUCGAACGGUAACGGGCCUUCGGGGGCGGCCGAGGGGGGAACGGGGGAGUAAUACAUGGGAACUUGCCCGACCGGGGGGGUAAACGAGGCGAAAGCUUUGUUAAUACCGCAACGGAUCUACGGAUGAAAGCAGGGGACCGAAAGGCCUGGCGCGGCCGGGGCGGCCGAUGGCAGAUUAGGUAGUUGGUGGGAUAAAAGCUUACCAAGCCGACGAUCUGUAGCUGGUCUGAGAGGAUGAUCAGCCACACUGGGACUGAGACACGGCCCAGACUCCUACGGGAGGCAGCAGUGGGGAAUUUUGGACAAUGGGCGCAAGCCUGAUCCAGCCAUGCCGCGUGCAGGAUGAAGGCCUUCGGGUUGUAAACUGCUUUUGUACGGAACGAAAAGCCUUCUUUUAAUACAGGAGGGUCAUGACGGUACCGUAAGAAUAAGCACCGGCUAACUACGUG